UAUCUUUUCCUCCUCACCUCUACCAAAUCAGUACAGAGCCCACACUUUGGAUUCUCAUUUCGAGAAUACUAAGGGCUCCAAGUGGUGGUGUCGUCCCCAUUUCCUAUUGUUCGUUCAAAGCCGUUCGUGGUAGAUGACUAGGGUGUUAUUGGACGAUUGCCUGCUGUUCUAGCGAGAGCGCAAGAAGGCUGUUCAUAGAGAGAGCGAGAUUUCAACCGAAGAGAGUCUUCAACUGGUAUGUUUUCUCAGUCUCUUGUUUGUUUAUCUGUAAGCAUGCCGAUAAAUUAGUAGUGCUAAUGCAUAUCUGUAUAUGUGAAUGUAUAUGUGAAAAUUCUAUGAUAAUGAAUUGGAAAGAUCCGCUUCCGCACAUAGGGACGAACUUGUAUAAGAGUUCUUUCAAGUCCAGGGUCGAACGCGGGGAUUCUAAAGUACAUUAACUCAAGUUUUUGUCUUUAGAUCUAUUGUAGGGUUGAUAUGCGUUGGUUAUGUCCACUAAACUACUGGCAUGCAUACAAGAAGGAAAUAGGGAUUUAAAAAAAGGGAAAAUGGUUCAUGGAUGAUAGGAUCAAGCGUAGAUGAUAUGCGUUGAUUUCCUAGUGGGAACAACAAGGUUAUGACAAUGAAAUGGAAAUUGUACAGAUGUCUGCUAGAGUCUAAGUGUACAUGUGAUGCAUUGGAAGUCUAUUCUUUAAUUUAUGUUCAACAUCUCUCCAUGUAGAUGCCACACUUAUCAUAUCUCUAGUUUGCAUGCGUUAGUUAAAAUGAAUAGGCAAAUGCCAUGAAUAAUUUUAUCUCUAGAAUUACUCACGCCCUAGCUUGAUGCGUUCAACAAGUAACUACUCUCUUGAGAAACUAAUUGUUUUUUCACUUCAAUCAACCGAUCAGGUGGAUUCAAGCAACAAAUUUUAUGCAUUUAUCAAGCCAGAGGAUUCACAUACACAAACGACUUAGAAAUUUAACAGAUGGAAAUGUGAAGCAUGGUUGAGAUUGAGAUUGAAUUAAAGAAAUACGUCUUGAUACAUACAACCUUAGUUCAAUGAAGUGGAAUAGUGAAUGAGAAUGCAAAAUAAAAGAAAGAAGUCAAACUGUUGGAUUCAAUCUCUUGUCCCCUUUGGCUUGUUUUUAUGCUUGUUGUUGCCAACUAAGUGGAGGUUGAAGAAGAUGUCUCUCUCGAGAUUUUCUCCAGCAACACCUCGUUGCCAACGAUGGAGAAUGGCUAUCAUCCCUCCUAUUUCUUGCUUGUAGUCAGAAAAUGUGAAAAACUAGAAAAUGGCUGACUCUCUAACUAACUCCUCAUUGUAGGCAACAUCUCUUUAUAUAGGCAAUCAGAACAACCACUUGGUGAUGUGAUUGCAUUAAAUUCCACACUCUAAGACAGUUGCCUACUAUUUUGCCUUGAUUAGAUAUAGCUAGUCAGAUGCCCAUGCAUGCAAGUUGGAUUUGAUGUGGAUUGCACAAGCCAAAUGAAUCUUUCGUGCGCCGGGUAAGCUAGACGCAUUCUCUUGUGUUAGGCUUGUCUACAACACUUAGUAAAUUUUUCUGAUUCCUUCAUUAAAGUGCGUUAGUGAUGCAAUGUUUCACUUAAAAAGAUACUUUUGCAUGAGUUUAUCACAUAUAUACAAUUUCAUGCACUUUUCUUUAUUAUGAGUACGUUUACAUAACUCAUAAUCCUAAUUAUUCAAUGAGAGGAAAAUAACUUGUAUUUAUACAUGUUACCAAGAACAAUAUGUUGUCGUUUCUUCGUCUUUCUCCCUUCUUCUCUUCUUCAAAAUCGCCUCAUUCAUUAUUUGAAUAAAUUUCUCUUCAUUUUUUUUUGCUUUUCUUAAUCAGAACUGAUGGUCGAGAGUCAUCAUUGUUCUUGACGAACUUUAUUGGAAACUUUUGCAAAAACAAAAAAGGUUAAUUAAAUAAAGAAAUAAAGAAAUUAGAGAAAAGGAGCUUCCAAUCAAGUUUGUAAAGAAGAACGACGAUUCUUUGUUAUACAACAUGGCAAUUCUUGGCGUUACCCACGAUGCAAAAUGGAAGGUCUAACUCAAAAAAUUGGAUGUAAACUUCUAUUUUCUGAGAGGCUAGCUGGAAUUCGUCCAAUUUUAUUCUAUUCAACAUGGUUAUUUCUUUGUGUUCCAAUUGAAAGCAAUUUGCUGAUUCAAUGUCCACAUUUUCGAUACCACCCCUACCCAAAUCAAUUAUCCAACUUGUCGGCCACCGAUUCUAAUUAUGAAAAGCAAAAACAAAGAUGAAGAGAAGUCUGUUCAAAUAGUGAAUGAGGCAAUUUUGAAGAAGAGAAGAAAAGAAAAAGACGAAGAAAUUGCAGCGUAUUAUUCCUUAUUGAGAGUUGAAGAAGAUGAUGAGAAAAAAUAUCUUGAAGAAAAGCACAUCAACAUCGUUUUUUCCGAGCAAUCUGAGGUUUUCCUCGCCAAAACUCACAUGUCUGGUACUUUUAAAGCUCUCUUCUACAAAAGUUGUAAGCUCACUUGUCACAUAUUUCCUGACUACCCAACUGUUGAGUGCAAAUACUGUCACAAGCGUGGUCAUAUCCUUGAAAAUUGUCCCAUCCGACCACCCCGACCUCCGGGAAAUUUUUCAAAGUAAAGACACGUUAAAUCUGGCUCUGCCUCUACUGAGCCUAAAUCUUCUCCGUCUACCUUUCAAAUGAGUGAUUUACAAGAUUUGCUUAAAUAGGUGAUUUCAUCCAAUUCCUCCGCUCUUACGGUUUCCUCGGGUAAUCGGUGGCUCCUUGAUUCCACUUGUUGUAACCAUAUGACUUAUGAUUGUUCUCUUGUGACUACACCCACUCCCGCCAAAUCUCUUCCUCUUAUUUAUGUUGCUGACAGUAAUUGUAUGACCAUAUUCCAUGUUGGCUCUAUUGACACUCCCACACUACAACUUUUUAAUACGUAUUGUGUUCCAAACUUGACCUUUAAUCUUACCUCCGUCGGACAGAUAUUGGCUUAACUAUUUCUUUUUCUUCUACUGUGUGUUAAGUUUAGGAUCUACAGGCAGGACAGACAGUUAGUGCGGGUUGCAAAGUGGGAAGAUUCUUUGAGCUCACAUCAUUCCAGCUACCUUCUUGUUCUCUUUUUGUCCUGUCACUAACUCUAUUAUAUAUCAAUGGUAUCUUCAUCUUGGUCAUGCUUCUUCCGAUAAACUCCGUCAUUUGAUUUCUAUUAAAAAAUUGCAUAAUGUUUCCAAGUUUAUUCAUUUUGAUUGUGUGAAUUGCAAACUUGCUAAAUAGCAUGCAUUAUUCUUUUCCUAGUCCAGUUUUAUAUGUGGUCAGCCUUUUGACUUAAUUCACUCUGA